rnacentral:rRNA from 1 species
CCUACGGGCGGCAGCAGUGAGGAAUAUUGGGCAAUGGGCGCGAGCCUGAACCAGCCAAGUAGCGUGAAGGAUGACUGCCCUACGGGUUGUAAACUUCUUUUAUAAAGGAAUAAAGUGAGGCACGUGUGCCUUUUUGUAUGUACUUUAUGAAUAAGGAUCGGCUAACUCCGUGCCAUCAGCAGCGGUAAUACGGAGGAUCCGAGCGUUAUCCGGAUUUAUUGGGUUUAAAGGGAGCGUAGAUGGGUUGUUAAGUCAGUUGUGAAAGUUUGCGGCUCAACCGUAAAAUUGCAAUUGAUACUGGCAGUCUUGAGUACAGUUGAGGUAGGCGGAAUUCGUGGUGUAGCGGUGAAAUGCUUAGAUAUCACGAAGAACUCCGAUUGCGAAGGCAGCUUACUAAACUGCCACUGACAUUGAUGCUCGAAAGUGUGGGUAUCAAACAGGAUUAGAUACCCGGGUAGUC